rnacentral:lncRNA from 1 species
GGCUUAGGCACAUUGAGCUACGCCAUUCGCACGCUGCCAUCUUACAUGAUAACACAGAUAUCAGUGCAGUGUGCGUACUUGCGGAGGGCUAACUGUAAGUGUUUAAGUAUUUAAGUCUGCACGCGUACAGGUGGAGGGCUAGCAUUGUAUUGUCUCGUCAAUGUGGGCUCCGAGGCAUUAUUAGCUGGGCUGCAACCCGACGUGCCAUCGGUAUGAAUGAACGCCACUUCCUCCAGACAUCCUUGCGGUUCAUACUUCAUAGCGAACCUUUCAAAAUCCAUGCGAUAGCGCAUAGGAGCAUUUGCAUGCAAUACCUUCGGCACGUUCAGUGUCCAUGCCCAGAGACGUCCCCACAUAGCGAAGGUUAAGUGCCACCGGUUCAAAUUAAAUGUGUGGGGUUGCUCGUGCCCUGGUGCAUCAAGGGCAGAUUGUCGCCCAAGCCUCAACACGAAACACAUCAUACCCACUCCCAUACCACAAACCACACCUGCCGUGUAUUAAAGGUAUGUCAAACAAGAUUUGUCCAGAUGUAAGCCCAUGAGUAGGUGGCAGACUUUGGCGACCUGAACGAGGGAAACUAGCUAAGUGAACCAUCCAGGUUCCUGUACACGUGUCAGCCCUUCGAUGUGAGGUGACAGUGGCAAGGAAAUACACGUAAAGUUAUCAUCAGACCCAGACAUAAUUCAAUAAAAUAGAGUCAAAGUUCAUGGACUCUUACUGCAGGCUAUCCUGUGUGUGCUUUAAAAAAUGCCUACUGCCUAAACGCCUUAGGGUACUGUCAUAACUUCACUGUUAUCAUAUGCCAACACGAGACAACAUCAGAGAGCUCGAAACAU